rnacentral:rRNA from 1 species
AGUCGAGCGAACAGACGAGGAGCUUGCUCCUCUGACGUUAGCGGCGGACGGGUGAGUAACACGUGGAUAACCUACCUAUAAGACUGGGAUAACUUCGGGAAACCGGAGCUAAUACCGGAUAAUAUAUUGAACCGCAUGGUUCAAUAGUGAAAGACGGUUUUGCUGUCACUUAUAGAUGGAUCCGCGCCGCAUUAGCUAGUUGGUAAGGUAACGGCUUACCAAGGCAACGAUGCGUAGCCGACCUGAGAGGGUGAUCGGCCACACUGGAACUGAGACACGGUCCAGACUCCUACGGGAGGCAGCAGUAGGGAAUCUUCCGCAAUGGGCGAAAGCCUGACGGAGCAACGCCGCGUGAGUGAUGAAGGUCUUCGGAUCGUAAAACUCUGUUAUUAGGGAAGAACAAAUGUGUAAGUAACUAUGCACGUCUUGACGGUACCUAAUCAGAAAGCCACGGCUAACUACGUGCCAGCAGCCGCGGUAAUACGUAGGUGGCAAGCGUUAUCCGGAAUUAUUGGGCGUAAAGCGCGCGUAGGCGGUUUUUUAAGUCUGAUGUGAAAGCCCACGGCUCAACCGUGGAGGGUCAUUGGAAACUGGAAAACUUGAGUGCAGAAGAGGAAAGUGGAAUUCCAUGUGUAGCGGUGAAAUGCGCAGAGAUAUGGAGGAACACCAGUGGCGAAGGCGACUUUCUGGUCUGUAACUGACGCUGAUGUGCGAAAGC